AUUGGGUUGGCAAAAAAGUUUGAGUUUUUCCUAAAAUGUUACAAAAAAACCUGAACAAACUUUUUGGUCAACCCAGUAC
rnacentral:miRNA from 1 species